GUGUGUGUGUGUGUGUGUGUGUGUGAGUGGAUGAUUUAAAGUGCAAUGUCAGGGCGCUGAGGCUGAGUGAGCCCUGCUUCCCUUUGCAAAAUCACCAGCCAGCAGCGUUUCGGGAUGAUUAUCGCUGCACUCUGCUUUUUUUUCCCCCAGUACGGAAGAGCAGAAGUCUGGACUC